AUGCCAUGGUUAGGAUAUUUUCUGAUCAUAUCUCUGAACUGUUCUUGUGUUUCAUGAAAACUCUCUAAUUCGACUUGCUGAAAGAUGGAGAUCUCGUGUCUUAGUUU
rnacentral:snoRNA from 1 species